rnacentral:rRNA from 1 species
UACGUAGGGGGCAAGCGUUGUCCGGAUUUAUUGGGCGUAAAGAGCGUGUAGGCGGCCAAGCAGGUCCGCUGUGAAAACUCGAGGCUCAACCUCGAGACGUCGGUGGAAACCGUUUGGCUAGAGUCCGGAAGAGGAGAGUGGAAUUCCCGGUGUAGCGGUGAAAUGCGCAGAUAUCGGGAGGAACACCUAUGGCGAAGGCAGCUCUCUGGGACGGUACUGACGCUGAGACGCGAAAGCGUGGGGAGCGAACAGG